rnacentral:rRNA from 1 species
UACGUAGGGUGCAAGCGUUGUCCGGAAUUAUUGGGCGUAAAGAGCUCGUAGGCGGCCUGUCACGUCGACUGUGAAAACCCAGGGCUCAACCCUGGGCCUGCAGUCGAUACGGGCAGGCUAGAGUGUGGUAGGGGAGACUGGAAUUCCUGGUGUAGCGGUGAAAUGCGCAGAUAUCAGGAGGAACACCGGUGGCGAAGGCGGAUCUCUGGGCCAUUACUGACGCUGAGGAGCGAAAGCGUGGGGAGCGAACAGG